AAAGAUAAUGAUCAGGCCUUACAAUUUAUUUAUAUUCAUAUUCAUGUACAAGAAUUAACAUUAAUGAUAUUUAUAAUACAAUGAUACCUUCGGUUCGCCAGAAGGUGGGAAUGCAAAGAUGACACGAGAGAGAGAUUACAAUCCAGCGUGAACAAUACGGUGCUACUAUUCAUCUAUUUAUAGGCACGAGACGCAGCCCAGACAAAAUUACAUCUAUGCCCGUGACAUUUACUCUUAAUUAUAAAGCGAGUUGUCAAGGACUAAGUAGUCUUUUCCCUCUUAGGUCGAUUUCGUCCUUCAUCUUUGCUAUCAUAUCAAGCCAAAGCUCCUUUAGCCAUAGUUUCAGCGUCCAUCCAUGUUACCUUCGGGUUGUAUCUUCAUAUCACACACGCCUUUAUCAUGAGAGGUCUUUCAUCCCGAAGUCAAAGUCUCCUGUAACAGUCCAUGCCAUACUGAAAACAUAUGAUUAGUCACGUUUUUGAGGACCUUUGGAAGGAGAAGGCCCCCAACAGUCCCAUUCCACCCUUAUGGUAGCAUGUUUUCCAGGGUGGUCACUCAUGUUCCAAUUAACAUAAUAAUCUUAUCAUGAACGGAAAAUAAUCAUUUGACAAUAAAUAGCAUGAUCAUGAAUAAAAUGUAUCUUAAUACCCAAAACCAUAUAGUGGAAUAGCACAAACUACCCAAAAGUUCAGUUGCAAGCAAGGUAUAAAGUAACUCAAACUAGGGUGACCUAUUGGAUCCCAUCAAAAUUAACCUGAGCAUGCCACAGUGAUUAAUAGUAACAUUAUUGGGUAAAGAAGAGUGACCAAGGGCACAACUUGCCUUGGACUUGAGAUCCCAGGUACUUCACCAAAUUGGUCUUCGGGUUUCUCAUGUCCUUGCUGCUACUCGUAGCAAUACAUACAAAUAGAC
rnacentral:lncRNA from 1 species